ACUUCGAAUAGCCGGUGAAAAUAAAUUGUUUAUACGUAGGUAUGUCCACGUAAAUACGUAGCGGUCAGUCAGUUGUCAGUUAAUAGUGGAAGAGGGGCGCGAGCCACGUGUCCACUACGGCUAAUAAAAUAGUUUUUCCUUUUAGUUGGACACGGUACGCAACACGUGGUCUCGUUAAAGUUCGGCAACAAUUCGCCUGAUAAUACAAAGUUUCGCGGCGCGUGAUUUGUGUAUGUGUGUUGUGCAGUGAUUGUUUUUUGUUUUCCGUGAUCCCGGUGUGUGAUUCGUUUUUGUUUCUGUGGUGCACUUGUUUUUGGAUUUCGAACCGGUCUUUCAAAAUCCGGCAAACUGGCGCAUUUAAAUUUCUCGCAAUACAUGGGUGACAUGGACAUUCAAGACUACAAGGUGAUGACUGGGGGAACUGACAGGU